GGAGAAACUGUUUCUUCUCUGUCCCAGAUCUCCAUGAGCAAGUUUCUUUGAGUGACACCUAAGUCAGAACUGACUGUAGCAAUAGGACAAGGAGUAAUGGGUUCAAACUAAAACAGAAGUUCAUGUAAGAUAUAAGGAAGAAGUUCUUUACUAUGAGCGUGGUGAGGCUGCCCAAAGAAGGAUGGAGCAUUUACCACUUCUUUGAGCAACCUGUUUUAGUGCCUCACCACCCUCACAGUAAGGAACUUCUUCCUUGUAUCUAACCUGAACUUCCCUGUUUAAGUUUAAACCCAUCACCCCUUCUCCUAUCACUACAGUCCCUAAUGAAGAGCCCCUCUCCAGCACCCUUGUAGCCCCCUACAGAUACUGGAAGGCUGAUAGGAGGUCCCCACGCAGCUUCUCUUUUCCAAGCUGAACAGCCCCAACUUUCUCAGCCUGUCUUCAUACAGGAGGUCGUCCAGACUCCUUAUCAUCCUCGUGGCCCUCUUCUGGACUUGCUCCAACAACUCUACGUCCUUAUGUUGAGGACACCAGAACUGCACACAGUACUCCAAGUGGGGUCUCAUGAGGGCAGAGUAGAGGGGCAGGAUCUCCUCCUUUGACCUGCUGGUCACGCUUCUGUUGAUGCAGCCCAGGACACGGGAGGUUUCUGGACUGCGAGUGCACACUGAAGCUGGCUCAUGUUCAGUUUCUCAUUAAUCAGCACCUCCAUGUCCUUCUCUACUGGGCUGCUCUGAAUCAUUUCACUGCCCAACCUGUAGCUGUGCCUGGGAGUACCAUGACCCGGGUGUAGGACCUUGCACUCGGCAUUGUUGAACUUCAUGAGGUUGGCAUUGGCGCAUCUCUCAAGUGUGUCAGGGUCGCUCUAGAUGUCAUCCCUUCCCUCCAGUGUAUCAACCAAACCACACACCUUGGUGUUGUCAGCAAACUUGCAAAGGGCACACUUGAUACCACUGUCCAUGUUGCUGACAGUUGGUUCCCCUUAAAGAUAAAAAUGAUGAAAUUGGUAACUGACUCUUGCUUUAAGGGGAUCCAAUUUUAUUUUCCAUGUUGCUCCUUUGAGAGCUAAAUUUUGAGGCCUAAGUUGGGUAUAUUAACAUUUGGUUUUAAGUUUGUAGCACACAUGGAAAAACCUGCUCAGAGGGAGAAAUGAUGUUUAAAGGAGACAUGGCUUUGCUGUCGUUAUGUGCAUGAUCCUGUAGAGAAAAGUCAAAAGGAAAAUGUAGACUCCUGAUGAAUUACCAGCCACCUUCUGGAAGCACUUGUCAUUAUAUAAUGUGGGAGCUUGAAGGAUAGUUGAUCACUGGUAAGGGAUUAAAGGCACUGCUGAAAGCCUGCUUUGUCUGGAGGUGCUUCCCAUUGAAUCGCCUUUCUUGCCACGUUGGUCGGGGCAGAGUUUAAUGCCUUUAACAAUUCAUUUUUUAUUGAAGAACUUGAGAGGUGAAUGAGCUGGUGGCUCAGGUCUGACUAAUUCAUAACAUUGUCUGAAAAUCUUGCUUUUUACACUUACACGUAAGUAGAAGCUGCCCUAAACAAAAGCUUCUGGAGUUGGUCAUGGUCCAUGUUAAUUGAUUUAAUGACCUUGCUUUUUUUUGCUGUGAGCUGAGUCGUGUUUCCUCUCUCCGACCAGGCAGGCAGGGAACAGAGGCUCCAGACUGGGAGAUGCAUGCAGUAAGAGGUUCUCCUGUAGAUCAGUUUUUGAACCUGUCAACUGAAGAGUGCAAGCAGUGCCGCAGGUGCAUUUCACUGAAGAAUAAAAACGAAGGGCUGAAAAACAAAAUAAGGGGGAAGAAAUUGCAGAAGUAUGGAUGAUGAGACAGUGUCAAAGAUGACCUGUAGAAGCCUUCUUUGUCUGAAACAAAAAGCAGGGUAAAGGGAUUGUCCACCUCAGACACCCCUAUGUCUCUGCCAUCAUUCCAGAGGUGAUUAAUGCUUCUGAAAGUCCCACUGAGCUUGAACAUUUGAAAAGCCAUCUCUUAAAGCUGGGGAGAUGAGGUGUUUCAAGUGCAUUGGCUGUGCUUACAAUGUGAUAUUCUGCCAAAGAGGCAUGAGUGGCCAGAAGCAUCUGAUCUAGUAGGUACUUAACUUGGUUUUGGUUUUUUUUCGUUACUAACAUUAAUAUUUCUAAAUAAUUAUUUUAUAGGUAAAGUAAAACCCUGAGGUGACUGACGGACCAUGAGAGAAAAUGCAUUUAUUGUUUCAGGCUUUCCUUGACCUGUUCUGUACAUUUGGCAAAUUCUGCAGACUUCCUUGAGAUUCCUUCUGUCCCAUUGUUCCCCAUGGCAUCAGUUCCCCUUUUUUCAUAAUUUUUUAGGAGAAAAGCUUUUAGAUGGUCAUGGAACUUUGCGGGGACUUAGGACUGUGUACUUCAAGAUCCCGUGGACUGAGCUAGUGGGGAAAUGUAAUCCAGCUGUUUAGAAGUAUCCCACAAAAAAUGUGUGCGAGCCCUUCUGUGCAAAGCCAGGUCUCUAAACUGAAGGAGAUCCAUAUCCUGUGGGUCCUGAUGCCCGAUUUACUCUGGAGCUUUUUUGUUGGCAGACAUGGGGAGAUGAUGGCAGUAAUCUUUGGUAGCAGCUGCUCCUUCUGUUAAGAAUAAAGGAUGUGCUUUGGAGAGUCUUUUAUUAUUGUUGACUUACUGGCAAAAGUUUCAAAGUUAGGAAUGACACUUGUCCUUUUAGUGGUGAGAAUCCUGCAUUGUCCUGUCUGUCUUUAGGCCACAGUUUUGGAGAGAAGUGACACUGAAUUUCUGUUGUGACUUUUGGGAUAUGAAAGAAAGCACAGUAAGAAUGCAUUAAACUUUGUGGAGAGCGUCUGACGACUCCUGCCUUCGUUGAGGCUGUCAGGUUUUGAUGAAUGUGAUCUUGGGAGAAACCUGAUGAAGUGUCUCAGUAUCCUGCCCGCUUUUAAUUUGUUUUUUUGUCCUGUUUGAAGAUGAACUGGGUAUUGGUUUUCAUAACUGGGAGCUUUCAGGUUUUACACUGUGGGAAAUAAAGGGGGUAGAGAGAAUAAGUUGGUUAUGAUGUGACCGAGAAUCAUGCAAACUUGAGGUCAGUUUAGUUUUGCAGCACUGCUGUUGCAGGUUUCCAGUGAAGGACAGAGAUCUAGGCCCAGUGAUUAGCUGUGAGCUACAUGAUUUUUCGGAAUCUUUUUGGAGCCAGCACAAGGUUUUGAAAUCAGUUGCAUGAGGCUUGAACGAAUUGGCUACUCCACUGAGUGAAAAUGCUGUGGGGUUUUUGUUUUGAGUUCCAUUAAAGCUAAGAGAUGUGCUGCUUAUUUUUACUGAUUUUAUACUGUAUUUUGAUUCAUUUGGCUGUGCGCAGAUUGUUCGUGUUCUUGCCACUGGCUUUCCAAUUGAAUUUCUACAAAACAUAGAGAUUUAUUCUAUGAAAUCCCGUUGUCUAUUAAAAUGGUACUAAUUGGUGUCUAUUCAUCUUGAUUUAAGCUGGAUCUAUCAAACUACUAGUUGUAAAUGUAGAAUAUGUAGCAGAAUUGUAUUCUGUUGGAAAAACAACUUGGGACUGAAUGGGAAGGGAUUAAUAUUGCCCGUGGAGAAAGUAGGAGAAAAGAAAAACACCCCUUGAUUUCUGGCCACUGAACUGGGUGCUUUAGGAUGCAGAAGAGCAUUGAAUUCUUGAUUCACUGGAAGCAAGGGUUGGGCAGUAAUCUGAAGCCUCAGAGCCUCAUGUUACCAUCCCUAAAAGCUGCCUUUUGACGUCCCUUUGAUUUACAGUUGAUUUAUUUCUUAAUGGUGAAGCUGAGGGAAUCCUGCAUAACUGGUCUUAACCAUUUUGGGUGGUAUGAAACAGUGUUUAACAGUACUUGUCCCCAUUCCAAAUUUUUAAACAAGCGCCUCUGAAUUUCACCUCGUAGCCUUUGAAUCUCAGUCUCUUUUUUAGCACUUCAGUGAGUGGGGACUGAGAUGAAACCUUCUUGCCAAAAUCUGGUAAUGGUUUCUCCAUCUCGUUCUUGCAACUGUUUUCAUGAAUUCCAUGCUGAUCUCCUUAGUUCCAGCUCUUUGUGCACUUCAGUCGCUUGACAGACAGAGCAGAUGGAGCUGUUGAUGCCAGAAGAGUGCUCAGCCUGGGGAGCGUGGCAAGCUCUUUAGGCCGUGCUUUGGAUUGCCAUCGAGCCCUCUCUUGUGACUCCUUAUGGCUCCGGAGCUGAUUUCAAGUCUUCAGAAUGAAAUUUGCUCAAAGAAUUAGCCACUGGCUGUAGACACUUAGAACAAGCAGGACCUUUAGGAGACAAUUAAAUGCAGAAAGCUUUUCCACCAGCCAGGAGAGGCUCAUGUAACAUGCAGUUGAUGGGAUUUGCCAGCCUUUCCUUGCUAAAAAUUCCUUAAAAAAUGGCUUUGAGGCAUAAGCACCUGAACAGAGAGCUCACCAGCUGUGUGCUGCUUUUCCUAUAUACAUGGGUACAUUCAUGUUUCCAUGCAUGGAAUCCCCUCGUUGUACAGUAAUGAAGCUUUUGCUCUGUAACUAAUCCUUAUGUGCUUUUGUUUUGAAGGAUGGAGAUGUUUUUCUAAGGAGAUGAAGGAUGCUGGUUUAUGUGGCCAUUGUGUAUUUUCAUUUAUUCUGUAAGUGAGUAAUAAAAGAUCCUUUUUUAAAAAGAAAGGAAAAGAAA
ensembl:lncRNA